GGCCCAGACUCCUACGGGAGGCAGCAGUAGGGAAUCUUCCGCAAUGGACGAAAGUCUGACGGAGCAACGCCGCGUGAGUGAUGAAGGCUUUCGGGUCGUAAAACUCUGUUGUUAGGGAAGAACAAGUGCUAGUUGAAUAAGCUGGCACCUUGACGGUACCUAACCAGAAAGCCACGGCUAACUACGUGCCAGCAGCCGCGGUAAUACGUAGGUGGCAAGCGUUAUCCGGAAUUAUUGGGCGUAAAGCGCGCGCAGGUGGUUUCUUAAGUCUGAUGUGAAAGCCCACGGCUCAACCGUGGAGGGUCAUUGGAAACUGGGAGACUUGAGUGCAGAAGAGGAAAGUGGAAUUCCAUGUGUAGCGGUGAAAUGCGUAGAGAUAUGGAGGAACACCAGUGGCGAAGGCGACUUUCUGGUCUGUAACUGACACUGAGGCGCGAAAGCGUGGGGAGCAAACAGGAUUAGAUACCCUGGUAGUCCACGCCGUAAACGAUGAGUGCUAA
rnacentral:rRNA from 1 species